GUGAUUUAUAAGCACAUAAAUAAUUGGCUGUUCAUUAACAGGUGGGUCUCCUAAACUCAGCUGCUUUUGGCAAUUAUCUACAGUAUUCCAGAGUUGUGCUUCUGUCCACCUCAGCUGCUUGCCUGUUUGGCUCAGAGAGUAUCAACUUUGAAAACAAGGCAAAGAGAAAACAAUCCAUCAGCAGGACUAUCUCAGGAGCCGAGAACAAGGCACAGUCGGCCAGUGCUGCUUGAGGAAUGGCAUAAAGAACGAUGCAGGAAGGAAACAUUUAAUCCAUCUACUUUGAUCCAAAAAACUGUCUUGAUGACAUUUGGAAGGAUUUAAUGACAUUUUCCUUGGUUCCAGCUCUACUAUUCAGCCGUACCUCAUUGUAUAUGAUUAAGCUGUAACUCUGCAGUCAGUUAUAGGACCCAAUGCCUCAAGUUCAUAAUUAAGAUGCAAAAACAAAAAAUGAAACAAACAAAAACUCCAACA